rnacentral:rRNA from 1 species
AAAAACAUCGCCUCCUGAAAAAAUAGGAGGUCCAGCCUGCCCAGUGACCAAGUUAAACGGCCGCGGUACCCUAACCGUGCGAAGGUAGCGCAAUCACUUGUUCUUUAAAUGAGGACUAGUAUGAACGGCAUCACGAGGGUCUCACUGUCUCCCCCCUCUAAUCAGUGAAACUGAUCUCCCCGUGAAGAAGCGGGGAUAAACCUAUAAGACGAGAAGACCCCAUGGAGCUUUAAACUCAAUUUCAACUACCAUCUAUAAACCACAAAAAACAGGUAGCCAUGACUAUUAGUUUUCGGUUGGGGUGACCACGGAGCAAAAUACAACCUCCAUGACGAAUGACUCUUUACCUCUAAUCAUAGAGUAACAACUCAAAGAAUCAAUAAAUUGACCCUCUUGACCCAAAUUUUUGAUCAACGAACCAAGUUACCCUGGGGAUAACAGCGCAAUCCAUUUCAAGAGCCCCUAUCGACAAAUGGGUUUACGACCUCGAUGUUGGAUCAGGGUAUCCUAGUGGUGCAGCCGCUACUAAAGGUUCGUUUGUUCAACGAUUAAAACCCUACGUGAUCUGAG